CUGAAACCGUGUACGUACAAGCAGUGGGAGCCCCACCACUAAGCCAGUGGUGAACUCCACAUACGCAUCCUUUGCUGAGGAUACGGUUAACGGAGCGAAAGCGACGUUCAACCGCAAAACAAGCAGAGGGGGCUUAGUGGUGGGGUGACUGCGUACCUUUUGUAUAAUGGGUCAGCGACUUAUAUUCUGUAGCAAGGUUAACCGAAUAGGGGAGCCGGAGGGAAACCGAGUCUUAACCGGGCGUUAAGUUGCAGGGUAUAGACCCGAAACCCGGUGAUCUAGCCAUGGGCAGGUUGAAGGUUGGGUAACACUAACUGGAGGACCGAACCGACUAAUGUUGAAAAAUUAGCGGAUGACCUGUGGCUGGGGGUGAAAGGCCAAUCAAACCGGGAGAUAGCUGGUUCUCCCCGAAAGCUAUUUAGGUAGCGCCUCGUGAAUUCAUCUCCGGGGGUAGAGCACUGUUUCGGCUAGGGGGCCAUCCCGGCUUACCAACCCGAUGCAAACUGCGAAUACCGGAGAAUGUUAUCACGGGAGACACACGGCGGGUGCUAACGUCCGUCGUGAAGAGGGAAACAACCCAGACCGCCAGCUAAGGUCCCAAAGUCAUGGUUAAGUGGGAAACGAUGUGGGAAGGCCCAGACAGCCAGGAUGUUGGCUUAGAAGCAGCCAUCAUUUAAAGAAAGCGUAAUAGCUCACUGGUCGAGUCGGCCUGCGCGGAAGAUGUAACGGGGCUAAACCAUGCACCGAAGCUGCGGCAGCGACACUCAGGUGU
rnacentral:rRNA from 1 species